rnacentral:rRNA from 1 species
CUGCAGCUCAAGUGGUGGCCGCUAUUAUUGGGCCUAAAACGUCCGUAGCCGGUUUAGUAAAUGCCUGGGUAAAUCGUGUAGCUUAACUAUACGACUUCCGGGUAGACUGCUAAACUUGAGACCGGGAGAGGCUAGAGGUACUCCUGGGGUAGAGGUGAAAUUCUGUAAUCCUCGGGGGACCACCAGUGGCGAAGGCGUCUAGCUAGAACGGGUCUGACGGUGAGGGACGAAGCCCUGGGGCGCGAACCGGAUUAGAUACCCGAGUAGUCC